AUGAUAAAUGGAAGGGUGCUGAAUAGUGGUCUCACUCAGGGCAGCAAAGUAACCCAGAAACGAUUCAACCCGAGUCCAGUCACAGAUGGUAAAGCCUACCCCAGUGGUGAGGGGAAGACCAAGAAGGAAGCAAAGCAAAAUGCAACAAAAAAUGCUCUGGAAAGCCCGUCUAAGCUUGGUCAUCGGGAUUCAGUGGAAUCUAGAAACAAUGCAGCUUCAGUUCAGAUGGUUCUUAGCUUUACAGAGACAGAUUUCAAAGGCCUUGUUAACCACUAUUGUCAGAAAACCAAACGUUCCUAUUCAUAUGUUGAAGUGAAGAAAGAUGGCCCGUCUCACGUUCCUCAUUUUUUCUACAAAUUAAUAAUUGACGACAAGGAAUAUCCUGUGGGUGAAGGGACUAGCAUCAAGGAAGCCCAACAGAAAGCAGCAGAGUUAGCCUGCUCUGUUCUUCAGGAACAGCCAGACUGGGACAUCAAGGUGUCCAUCAGGCCAACAGCAUCGGAAGAUGGUGCUCCACCUGAAUCAUUAGCCUCAUCAGUUACACAGGAGUCCAUUGAGUCCUCAUCGCAGGGCCUGACUACAGAUCAGAGAAACAAGGCAGCAGAAGCUUCAGUUCAGAUAGUUCCUAGCUCUGAGGACACCAGCUUUACAGAGACAGAUUUCAAAAGUCUUGUCAACCGCUAUUGUCAGAAAACCAAACGUUCCCAUUCAUAUGUUGAAGUGAAGAAAGAUGGCCCGUCUCACGUUCCUCAUUUUUUCUACAAAUUAAAAAUUGACGACAAGGAAUAUCCUGUGGGUGAAGGGACUAGCAUCAAGGAAGCCCAACAGAAAGCAGCAGAGUUAGCCUGCUCUGUUCUUCAGGAACAGCCAGACUGGGACAUCAAGGUGUCCAUCAGGCCAACAGCAUCGGAAGAUGGUGCUCCACCUGAAUCAUUAGCCUCAUCAGUUACACAGGAGUCCAUUGAGUCCUCAUUGCAGGGCCUGACUACAGAUCAGAGAAACAAUGCAGCAGAAGCUUCAGAUCAGACGGUUCCUAGCUCUGAGGACACCAGCUUUACAGAGACAGAUUUCAAAAGUCUUGUCAACCGCUAUUGUCAGAAAACCAAACGUUCCCAUUCAUAUGUUGAAGUGAAGAAAGAUGGCCCGUCUCACGUUCCUCAUUUUUUCUACAAAUUAAUAAUUGACGACAAGGAAUAUCCUGUGGGUGAAGGGACUAGCAUCAAGGAAGCCCAACAGAAAGCAGCAGAGUUAGCCUGCUCUGCUCUUCAGGAACAGCCAGACUGGGACAGCAAGGUGUCCAUCAGGCCAACAGCAUCGGAAGAUGGUGCUCCACCUGAAUCAUUAGCCUCAUCAGUUACACAGAACAACAGUGAAUCAUCUUCACAAAACACCAGAUUUGGCCUGGCGUCAGAAGGCAGAGGUUCCCCGAAGAGUUUUCAGUGACUUUUACCAAAGAGAAGCAAAUUAUUAACUCAUUGCUGUCUGAGAAACCAGAAGACCGACCUGAUGCAAGUGCCGUGAAGGAAAAGCUUGAAGAGUGGACUCAGAUAUUCAGCACACACAAAGCAUCUCGCCAGGAAAAUCAAACUGUCUGAUAGUCACAAGAGAAAAGUUUCAAAAGUCACAGAAGCCUUUACAAAUCUGUCUUGUUGCAUCUGCUUAAUGAAAUGAUUUGAUGUACUGUGUAAUAUUAUGUUGGGUAACUGUUAAUGUGCAAAGUUAAUAUAUGGAAGAGGUCACAUCAUGAAUCCCGGCUAUUUCAGGGAAGUUUGUAUUGGAUUUGGAAAUGAAAUGUGAAAUCAUGAUUUUAAAAUCUAACUAUUCAAAUCAGUUUCCCGGUGUAGGUCGUCACUUUGUAACUGUUGUUAACCUGCUGCUGUCCUGAGGAGGAGGAACUGUGAUGCUACGUGUACUUCUGAUGGAUUCAUGUUGAAUGUCAGAGAUAAAAAAGCACACUCCAUGUGGCUCAAUUUUAGAAACUUUCCUAAAUGUUUUCAAUCAUUUUUAACCCAUGAAAUACAGUUUAAAAUAUUUUUCUUCCAUUUUUUUCUUUUGUUUAUUUUAAUCUGAUUGAUUGCAAUAUCAGUCAGCUACGUGUGACUUGGAACAGCAGGAGAAAGGUCAUUAAUACUGUACUAGAGGGUUGAAAUAAUAAAAA